AGACCCCGUGAACCUUUACUAUAGCUUGACACUGAACAUUGAGCCUUGAUGUGUAGGAUAGGUGGGAGGCUUUGAAGUGUGGACGCCAGUCUGCAUGGAGCCGACCUUGAAAUACCACCCUUUAAUGUUUGAUGUUCUAACGUGGACCCGUAAUCCGGGUUGCGGACAGUGUCUGGUGGGUAGUUUGACUGGGGCGGUCUCCUCCUAAAGAGUAACGGAGGAGCACGAAGGUUGGCUAAUCCUGGUCGGACAUCAGGAGGUUAGUGCAAUGGCAUAAGCCAGCUUGACUGCGAGCGUGACGGCGCGAGCAGGUGCGAAAGCAGGUCAUAGUGAUCCGGUGGUUCUGAAUGGAAGGGCCAUCGCUCAACGGAUAAAAGGUACUCCGGGGAUAACAGGCUGAUACCGCCCAAGAGUUCAUAUCGACGGCGGUGUUUGGCACCUCGAUGUCGGCUCAUCACAUCCUGGGGCUGAAGUAGGUCCCAAGGGUAUGGCUGUUCGCCAUUUAAAGUGGUACGCGAGCUGGGUUUAGAACGUCGUGAGACAGUUCGGUCCCUAUCUGCCGUGGGCGCUGGAGAACUGAGGGGGGCUGCUCCUAGUACGAGAGGACCGGAGUGGACGCAUCACUGGUGUUCGGGUUGUCAUGCCAAUGGCACUGCCCGGUAGCUAAAUGCGGAAGAGAUAAGUGCUGAAAGCAUCUAAGCACGAAACUUGCCCCGAGAUGAGUUCUCCCUGAG
rnacentral:rRNA from 1 species